rnacentral:rRNA from 1 species
UACAGAGGGGGCAAGCGUUGUUCGGAAUUACUGGGCGUAAGGGCUUGUAGGUGGCCAACUAAGUCAGACGUGAAAUCCCUCGGCUUAACCGGGGAACUGCGUCUGAUACUGGAUGGCUUGAGUGUGGGAGAGGGAUGCGGAAUUCCAGGUGUAGCGGUGAAAUGCGUAGAUAUCUGGAGGAACACCGGUGGCGAAGGCGGCAUCCUGGACCAUUACUGACACUGAAAAGCGAAAGCCAGGGGAGCAAACGGG